CCUACGGGAGGCAGCAGUGGGGAAUAUUGGACAAUGGGGGGAACCCUGAUCCAGCCAUGCCGCGUGUGUGAAGAAGGCCUUUUGGUUGUAAAGCACUUUAAGCGAGGAGGAGGUACUCUAGUUAAUACCUAGAGAUAGUGACGUACUCGCAGAUAGACCAUUC
rnacentral:rRNA from 2 species